rnacentral:rRNA from 1 species
GAUGAACGCUAGCGGCAGGCCUAAUACAUGCAAGUCGAGGGGUAACAGGAGUAGCAAUACUUGCUGACGACCGGCGCACGGGUGCGUAACACGUAUGUAAUCUGCCCAUCACUGGAGGAUAGCCCGGAGAAAUCCGGAUUAAUACUCCAUAAUAGACGAAGGGGCAUCUCUUUGUUUUGAAAGCUCCGGCGGUGAUGGAUGAACAUGCGACUGAUUAGUGUUGGUGAGGUAACGGCUCACCAAGACUUCGAUCAGUAGGGGUACUGAGAGGUUAAA